GAUGAACGCUCGCGGCAGGCCUAAUACAUGCAAGUCGAACGGGAUCCAGAUCAAAGCUUGCUUUGGUCUGGUGAGAGUGGCGCACGGGUGCGUAACGCGUGAGCAACCUACCCUUGUCAGGGGGAUAGCCCGGCGAAAGUCGGAUUAAUACCGCAUGACAUCAUUGAGAGGCAUCUUUCGAUGAUCAAAGAUUUAUCGGACAAGGAUGGGCUCGCGUGACAUUAGCUAGUUGGUAAGGUAACGGCUUACCAAGGCUGCGAUGUCUAGGGGCUCUGAGAGGAGAAUCCCCCACACUGGUACUGAGACACGGACCAGACUCCUACGGGAGGCAGCAGUAAGGAAUAGUGGUCAAUGGACGGAAGUCUGAACCAGCCAUGCCGCGUGCAGGAAGACGGCCCUAUGGGUUGUAAACUGCUUUUAUACGGGAACAAACGUCGGUACGUGUACCGGUCUGAGUGUACCGUAAGAAUAAGGAUCGGCUAACUCCGU
rnacentral:rRNA from 1 species